GUGCUGCUGAAGAGUCCCAAAAUGGGAUGAAACAGCUGUCCAGUAC
rnacentral:hammerhead_ribozyme from 1 species